rnacentral:rRNA from 1 species
AAUGCGAUAAGUAAUGUGAAUUGCAGAAUUCAGUGAAUCAUCGAAUCUUUGAACGCACAUUGCGCCUAAUAGUAUUCUGUUAGGCAUGCCUGUUCGAGCGUCAUUUCAACCUUCAAGCCCUAUUUGCUUGACGUUGGGAGUUUACAGCUG